rnacentral:rRNA from 1 species
GAUCGGGGACACCACAUGGAAACGGUGGCUAAUACCGGAUGUGCCGAAAGGUGAAAGAUUUAUUGCCUAGAGAUGAGCUCGCGUCUGAUUAGCUAGUUGGUGUGGUAAGAGCGCACCAAGGCGACGAUCAGUAGCUGGUCUGAGAGGAUGAUCAGCCACACUGGGACUGAGACACGGCCCAGACUCCUACGGGAGGCAGCAGUGGGGAAUUUUCCGCAAUGGGCGAAAGCCUGACGGAGCAAUACCGCGUGAGGGAGGAAGGCUCUUGGGUUGUAAACCUCUUUUCUCAGGGAAUAAGAAAGUGAAGGUACCUGAGGAAUAAGCAUCGGCUAACUCCGUGCCAGCAGCCGCGGUAAUACGGAGGAUGCAAGCGUUAUCCGGAAUGAUUGGGCGUAAAGCGUCCGCAAGUGGCACUGUAAGUCUGCUGUUAAAGAGCAAGGCUCAACCUUGUAAAGGCAGUGGAAACUACAGAGCUAGAGUACGUUCGGGGCAGAGGGAAUUCCUGGUGUAGCGGUGAAAUGCGUAAAGAUCCGGAAGAACACCGGUGGCCAAAGC